rnacentral:rRNA from 1 species
UACGUAGGGGGCAAGCGGUUGUCCGGAUUUAUUGGGCGUAAAGAGCGUGUAGGCGGCCAGACAGGUCCGUUGUGAAAACUCGAGGCUCAACCUCGAGACGUCGGUGGAAACCGCAUGGCUAGAGUCCGGAAGAGGAGAGUGGAAUUCCUGGGUGUAGCGGUGAAAUGCGCAGAUAUCAGGAAGAACACCCGUGGCGAAGGCGGCUCUCUGGGGACGGUACUGACGCUGAGGCACGAAAGCGUGGGGAGCAAACAGGGAUUUAGAAACCCCGG